rnacentral:rRNA from 1 species
AUUGAACGCUGGCGGCAGGCCUAACACAUGCAAGUCGAACGAGUGGCGGACGGGUGAGUAAUGUAUGGGAAACUGCCCGAUGGAGGGGGAUCACCACUGGACACUGUAUCUAACACCGCAUCCCAUCGGAUGUGCCCAGAUGGUAUUCGCUCGUAGGUGGGGUAAUGGCUCACCUAGGCGACGAUCCCUAGCUGGUCUGCGAGGAUGACCAGCCACUCUGGAUCGGGGAUACGGCCCAGCCUACUCCGGAAGGCAGCAGUUGGGAAUAGUGUGCAAUGGGCGCAAGCCUGAUGCAGCCAUGCGCCGUGUAUGAAGAAGGCCUUCGGGUUGUAAAGUACUGUCAGCGAGGAGGCGUUACUCGCAGAAGACGCACCGGCUAACUCCGUGCCAGCAGCCGCGGUAAUAC